AAACCUGUACAGUGCAAACCACCGAAGAAUGGGUUCCACGAAGCUCAACAUCAACGGAUCCAUCCUUGAGGGAGAAUCGGAAGGAAACACCGCCGACAUACAUCAUGAUUCCGCAGGGGAAUUCGGCCGCGAGGUUUGCAAAAUCGAUCUGCGUGUCCUCAACUGAGUACAUCGAAGCCCUAGCCCUCAAAGAAGCCUUCUCUCUCAUGGCGACACAAUUGUAUUGGAAGAGAUGAACUGAUUCGAGGGGGGAAGUAUAAAGCAUAGCUUAUCCAUUUUUUAUUUAAUUUCUUUUGGUCGAAAUAGCUUAUCCGUUUGCGAUCCUCUUUUUCACAUCGACGAUUCUUCUUCCUUCCCAACAUCAAACUUCUCAAAAUUCUUGGAUUGAGACUGGAGCGAAGAUGGUUGGGUUGAGGUUGACGCUGGCGACGGCUCGGAUCUUGGGGUCUUCGUGGGCGCGCCAUCCCUCAUGCAGGUGAAACUUCGAAUUUGCUCAAUCAGAAUUCAAAAAGUGAAGAACCGUGAGAGCAUCGCAAUUGAAAACUUUGAAGAGCUCGUGUUUCGUCUACCUUGAACGUGGAUGACCCAGGAAUUGACCAAUGGGAUAUUGCUCAUAAUUCAGGAAUUGAAGGACUUGCUUCCUAGAAGCAGAUAAAUUGGUUUAUCUUUUGAGUCGACUUUGACAUUUUUACGUUUGUAUACUGAUUACACCAGAUCCUCCCCGAAGCAAAAUUUCAGAACCAAAAAAGCAAGAAGACGUGCAACAAUUGAAGAAAGAAAGAGAG
rnacentral:lncRNA from 1 species